AUGGUGGAUGCUAAGGGAAACACCGUGCUGCAUAUAACAACCCGGCAGGGUCAUUUACAGGAUGAUGUUGAUUGGGAAAAGUUAGGAGUGAAAGAGGUCUUAGAAAUAGCUUAUGUACCCGGGCUUGAUGUUUCUGUCGCUGUUGCUCAUGAAGUGUCUGUUACAACUUUCGGUUCAGGAGUUUCACCUACAAAAAUAUAUAUCACAGAGCGUAUGUACAUGGUCUGA